UUUAUUAAAAUCGUUAACAAAAACGUUACAGCGUCGGUAACACCUACCUCCAUUAUUUGUCAAAAUCAAAAAAGGAAAAAACGUUGCCGACAUGUAUGAAAAGUUUAAGGUUGCAGAUUUCGUUUCUUUAUUCAUUAGAAGUGUAGGCAUUGUAUUCAAACAAAGAGCUACCUAUGUCGACAGAAAUUGCUUUUGAAUCGAUUAAGAAUGUUACAAUUGGACCUCCCUCAAUUAAUUUAUCUAUGGUCGAAAUUUUCUUAGAAGUCUUAUGAACAAAACAAACCCGUCUUGUCACUAAAAUCACAUAUUUCACUUACGUUAUACGUAAUUUCUAAAGAACAAAGUGUCUAAAUCCUUUAUUAUACGCGUACAGUACGAAUUACACCAAAAACUACACCGAAUUUACGAUUUAUUCAUAUUUAUUUUCUGAAAAACAAAAUCACAACGAGAUUAAUUUGCACAGCUUAACUACGAUUACGGCAAUUUGACAUUUCGUAACGCUAGAUUGUUUAUGAAAAGCAAGGAUGGGUAAAUAACAUCGAGCGUUAACUUAUCGAUAAAUGAUAAUGAAUGAUUCUUUAAUAAUUGAUGUGUUGUUAGUUUAAAGAUGGAAAAUUGAUAUUUUAUAAUCAUUUUAUUUUAAAAAAUAGUUUUUUAAUGAAAAUGUUAUACAAUAAAUAUGCUCACGUUAUUCUAUAGCGUAAAAGAUAUCUUACGAAUAGUAGCAUUAUUCAAACACUGGUAUGGAUAACAUUAAGUUGUAGCUGUAGAGUAAUAAUUAUGAAGAAGGGAAAAUGAGUUUUUUUUUCAUGGAAACGCCGUGCUCUAUAAGUAUUUUCGUAAUAAUUAACUUUUUUUCUGACUAUUUUACAUAUUUCAAAAAUAUACAUGCAGGGCAGAGUCUACAGUUUUAGUUUAUUCAAAUACGGUUACCUAUACUGGGUGUAAGGGGCAUGCUAACGAAAACUUAAUCCAGUGGUUCAGUACAUGAUUCUGAGUCUCUCAGCGUUGAAAUUUUUUGUCGGUCUUUUCACGAUAUUGAAAUUUUUUUUACAGUUUUUUUUAACUAAUUACAGCUUAGAAGUACUUAUUUCAUCUAUCUCAAUACGAUUUUUAAUAAAAAUCGUCAAAUCAAGAUUUUUAACAAAAACUAGCAAUGUAAAUUUAAUUUGCAAAAUGCGCGCGAUCAGCUGUUUUCCAAGAGGUCAAAUAGGCAGGUCACGACUAAUAGGUAUAUAUACAAAGUCACAAACAAACUGCGCGACGUUGUAUUGCCGACCGCCGCCGGUGCCGAGUAAAAUAAUUGCUAUCUCUCUCUAACCUAAGCCACGCAGCGCGGUUAAUAGGUAUUUUCAAAAUAUUGAAACUUUAGGUCCUUUCGCUAGACGCUACGCUAUUUUUUCUUUAGUUCGUGUUCAGCGGUCUGUUGACAAACAAACCAAAAUUCAAAAACUUUUGUGUAUGUUUUAUGUUCUGUUAGUAGUGAUUUUCUGUAACGAAUACUCAUACAAUUGUGUCGUUUGUAUUGUGUGUGUUUGUGUGUGUUGACUGAGAAGUCUUGAAAUGCUUAGAUCAAAUCAAUUCAGUACUCAUGAAUAUCGUACCUACUACGACGACAUAACGUCUCGUAAACGAGAAACAACCUGAAUAUAGUUAAAAACUUGUAAAGUAUAAAAAAUAGGUAUUAGAUAGGUAAGUGUAGCCAGCCGAUUUGCUGUCGAUGCGUACGUACCUACGUGUACGUACGCAGUAGAUUGCGGAGCGUUGUUAUCGCAUUAUUCGCUGUACAUUGCGUGCUCAAAAUUUUCAAAAUCUGAAUUUUCUUAUUUCCGACGUAAUUGGUAUUUAAAAUAUCGUUGUGGAAACUAAAUUUAACCUCUUCAUGCAGUUUUCGGUAUCAUGUCCCUUACACCCAGUAUGUACGUGGAUACGUGCACACUUUUUUGAAGUAUAAGCAAAUCUUGGACGUUAGUACGUCCCCAAAAGAUUAAAGAAAGAGACGGCCGCGUGGCGCAGUGGGUAGUGACCCUGCUUUCUGCAUCCACGGCUGUGGCUUCGAUUCCCACAACUGGAAAAUAUUUGUGUGAUGAGAUUGAGUGUUUUUAAGUGUCUGUGUGUAUUUAUACAUUUUAUAAGUGUAUAUGUAGCGUAUAUAAUUGUAUAUUAAUAUUAUAAUAUCAACUAUCUUAGCAUCCAUAACACAAGCUACUCUGUAUGCUUACUUUGAGGCUAGAUAGUGAUGUGUAUUGUUUAAGUAUAUUUAUAAUAAUAAUAAAAAAAAGAUUACCCCAUUUCUUAACCACGCGUACCCAUAGGCAUAAACCGUGCACCGUUCACCGUUUGUAACACGUGAUAUUUAAUUUCUUAAAAUGCACACAACCGAAAAACGUUACUAUACGUUCCCUUUUAAGAUAACGUAGUAUAGUAACGGAUAUUUUAGUUUAGGUAUUUCAGUUAUAACGAUACCUACUUGAUAUCGUUCCGAUGCCCGCCGUUAACUUCUCAACCCUACUGAUUGUCUUUGAUUCAUAGUCGGCCAUUAUUGUUGUGUAAAAAAGUCAUCUAAGAAAAUUUCGACCAUAGAAGCGGAUCUAAAGGAUCUCAAAUUAGUUGUCAAUUGGUUGAAUAAACACUUUGGCUGUUGCUACAUAAAAUCUCUGAAUUAGGUAUACUCUAUCUCAGUGCAUUGUUAUCUAUGCUGCUACAAUUUGCAAUGUUACUAAAGUUCUUGCCAAUAAAAGUUACAAUGCAUUAUUAGUAACUUUAAAAUGUGUCAUAUUUACAAAGUUUCUCGUAUCUGGUACAACUGAUAGUAGAAACGAUAUGAUAACAAUACGUUCGUCGAUACUAACUAUGUUUACACUCAGUUGAGUACACGCGGUAUGAAGUACUUACGGGACAUUCAAAUGUGCUAGUGUGGUUUGUUGCGAUGACUGUUUCACCACUACGCCCACUCCACCGAUUUCUCCAUUGAUACAAUAAUAACCUGCAAUUGCCGUCCGAAUCCGUGGUUAGGUAUUGUUUGCUUUUGUCAUUGAACCGGUGAAUUACGCUCUUUUGCUCGAUUGUUUGACUACCGGCCAAUUGGCUGUCUACCGUUUAUUUUUGCCAUGCAUCUGCCGUAUGGCGUGAUGAUUUAUUGUGACUACUCAAAUUGGCUUUACAAUUGUUUCUCGCUUUGCUAAUACCUGAAGUGUUAUUGAGGCUACGUUACUAUUAAUAUUGAUAAAGUGACUGACAUAUAUUGGCGCGAAUAAAGUACUGUUCAGUAGUUCCGUGUUAAUAAAGAUCAUGGUAAGGCAAUUAAGUUUUUCAACAAUUACAACUUCCUGGCAAAAGUAAAGGACAGAAGUGAUUCCGACGAAUGAUUAUAUGCUUUUUCAUUGGUGCAAGUAAUUAGAUAGGUAUUUUAUUCCUCAGUUAGAGGUUUUUCAUGCAUGAAAAGCCAAGGUAAACGUUCGAAAUACAUGAAUUUUAUUAAAUUAAAUUAAUCCAACCUACUUUUUAAAAUUAAUAUUUGUAAGUAUAUUAUUCAAUAAACAGAUUUAGCAAUCACUUCAUCAUUCUUAUGAAAGUCUACCUCGCUUUUUGCUGGUAACACUAAGUUAGAGAGGUAAAUAAAGGAGUGCCUUAUUGCUUAUUCAUACUAAACUGUAACAGGUAACCUUUGUUGAAGGUAUUCGGGAUAGCGAGCGACAAACUAGCCCUCGUAAAAUAAUUCACCUGACAUUUUCAAUACACGAUACCCUUUUUUGUUUCAAUACCGUAUCGAGGUAAAAUCAGUGAAUGACCUUCGCAACGAAUUACUUGAAACAAAAACUCGACCUUAUAAGGAGUUCAAAUUUAUUAAAUCUACUUCAUUAUUGCAUUGGAUGCAACGGUUACAUACAGCUGACAGAUGCAUUUAUCUUCAACUAGCGGACGCCCGCGACUUCGUCUGCGUAAAAUUCAAUGUCAAUUUUACUACUACCCCCUAACCUAACCUAACCUACCCUACCCCUACCAUACCCCUACCCUAUCACUACCCCAACCCUACCACUGCCCCAACCCUACCCCUACCCUACCCCUACCUUACCUAAACCCUACCCCAAUCCUACCCGUACCCUCCCCGUACCCUAUCCCUUUCCUACCCCUAUCCCACCCGUACCCUUAUCUCACGCCUAUCCUACCCCUACCCUGCCACUUCCCUAUCCUACCCGUACCUCUACCCUACCACUACCCUACCUCUACCCCGACCCUACCACUACCCUAAACCCGGCCCUAAACCUACCCUACCCCUACACUACCCCUACGCUUCCCUACCCGUACCCUAACCUACCCUGUAACUUCUCUAUCUCACUCCUACCCUUAGCAAAAUCGGUCCAGUCCUUCGAGAGUGGUGGUAUGACCAAGAGAAAUAGAGACUUCUAUGCUAAUAAUAUAAAGAGGUAAAGUUCGUGUGGUUGUAGGAGGUAAUCUCUGGAUCUACUGGACCGAUUUGGAAAAUUGUUUUACCAAUAGAAAGCUACGUUAUUUGCGAGUGUCCAAGGCUAUGUUUGAUCUCCAUAUUCACACGGGAACGGGAACUACGUAAAUGAAAGCGCCGGGCGUCAUAUAGUGGAAUUUCUGCGUCUUUUAGAAAUUUUGUAUUAUCUCCGAAACUAUUUAAGUAAUUAACAUACUGUAAAGGGCAAAUCUUAUCUCCAUAAUACCCUUGUGAUUAUUAAAUAAUUUAUUUUAAUAAGGAUUAAAGUUUAGUUGUAUAAAUAAUGACGUAAACCUAAGUAUAUAAAAUUAAUAAUUUUUAAAACACAAAAGGCCUUUUUUCUUCUAUAUAUCAGCUAAUAUAUAGAAGA